CACACACACACACACACACACACACACACUUUGCAUUAGCAGUCCAUGCUUCAGUGCUCUGUGAGUGUUUAUAGUCCUGUGACUUGAACACUUCAUGACUGAGAGCUGCUGAUCAGCAACUUCACCCACAGCAACCAUGACUUUGAUCAGCGUCUUCAUCUGCACACUGGCCCUCUGGACUCAAGGAUCCAGAGGUCAGGUGACUGUGACUCAGACUCCUUCAGUGCAAACUGUUGUUCCAGGAAACACAGUCACCAUCAACUGUAAAACCAGUAGCAGUGUGCUUGGUGAUGUUGCUCUCGCCUGGUACCUGCAGAAACCCAGAGAAGCUCCUAAACUCCUGAUCUAUGCUGCUACUGAAUUAGAAUCAGGAACUCCAGAUCGUUUCAGUGGCAGUGGAUCUGAGACCGACUUCACUCUGACCAUCAGUGGAGUCCAGACUGAAGAUGCAGGAGAUUACUACUGUCAGAGUGUUCAUGAGAUCAGUGGUAGUGUUGUGUUCACACAGUGUUAGAGCAUCGUACAAAAACCUCGGUCAGUGAGAGUGUACAGAGAAGCACUGCUGCAGCUGGGAGAGACUGCAGGUGCUGAGGGGGAGGAUGUGAUACACACAAUCACACACACUGUGGAUGAGAGAAAACAC